rnacentral:rRNA from 1 species
CUGGCUCAGGAUGAACGCUGGCGGCGUGCUUAACACAUGCAAGUCGAACGGGAUCCAUCAGGCUUUGCUUGGUGGUGAGAGUGGCGAACGGGUGAGUAAUGCGUGACCGACCUGCCCCAUACACCGGAAUAGCUCCUGGAAACGGGUGGUAAUGCCGGAUGCUCCAGUUGAUCGCAUGGUCUUCUGGGAAAGCUUUCGCGGUAUGGGAUGGGGUCGCGUCCUAUCAGCUUGACGGCGGGGUAACGGCCCACCGUGGCUUCGACGGGUAGCCGGCCUGAGAGGGCGACCGGCCACAUUGGGACUGAGAUACGGCCCAGACUCCUACGGGAGGCAGCAGUGGGGAAUAUUGCACAAUGGGCGCAAGCCUGAUGCAGCGACGCCGCGUGAGGGAUGGAGGCCUUCGGGUUGGUUAAACCGUCUUUUAUUCGGGGUAGGCGAAGCGAGAGUGAGUUA